AUAUCUUCAUUGCAAUAUGUGCCAAGCAUUGAGGAGAUGGAGUUCUAUGAAUCAAUUGAAAUGGAAAUGGGGAGUAAAACAUCCACGACAAAUUUGAAUAAGACUCUCCCUUCUUAGUGUGAUUAAGAUAUGUUGGAAGAUUACUUUGUUAAUGCUUUUGGAAGAAUGGAUGCAGCAGAUUUUUUGCAAGGACAUUAUCUUCAUGUGUAUUUUUGUGAUGGGUUGUAAUAUUUAAUUUCAUAAGUUUAAUUUGGUUUUUGUAUUAUUUUUUGUAAUGGUUUGUAAGAAAUUAUAUUUCUUUUCCUUGGUUGGUUGGUUGAAUGUGUGUGUGAGAUUUAUUUAGUUUAAAAACUUAGAUUGGAAUGAUGGAUUUUUAUAGGUUAAAUUUACAUAAUUU